rnacentral:rRNA from 1 species
UGGCGGCAGGUCUUAGGCAUGCAAGUCGAACGGAUGACAAGGGAGCUUGCUUCCUUGAAGUCAGUGGCGCACGAGUGAGUAACGCGUGGGAAACUGCCUUCACUGGGGAAUAACGUUUGGAAACGAACGCUAAUACCGCAUACGCCCGCAAGGGGAAAGAUUUAUCGGUGAUGGAUGUGCCCGCGUUGGAUUAGCUAGUUGGUGGGGUAAUGGCCUACCAAGGCGAUGAUCCAUAGCUGGUCUGAGAGGACGAUCAGCCACGCUGGAACUGAGACACGGUCCAGACUCCUACGGGAGGCAGCAGCUAAGAAUAUUGGGCAAUGGAGGAAACUCUGACCCAGCCAAUGCCGCGUGAAUGAAGAAGGCCUUCGGGUUGUAAAGUUCUUUUAGUCAUGAAGAUGAUGACAGUAGUGACAGAAAAAGCACCGGCUAACUUCGUGCCAGCAGCCGC